CACCACAGGCAAUCAAGCUGCGGCCCCGGACUCCUAGGCUUCUGGGGCUGAUUUUAGUGCUUUAAACCCAGGACAUCUUUGUCCCCAUAGGCACAAUGGAGGAGAUGGUUUCAGCCCCCAGAGACUGCCUCCGGGGCUGGAACUCAUAGUGACAGUGGGACACAGCAGUGUCAUCAGGCUGUCAAUGGGGCCUUGCCUUUCCAGCCAGAGGAUUUUGAGAAACCCUAUGCCAAGAGCUUCCAUUUGGGAGGGCCUUGGGGCAGGUGCCAAGAGAUGGCUGGGGUCUGUAUGUGGGAGCUAUAGGAAGUGCUAUAGUGAGAAGUCAGCUCCUUUAGAGACUAGGCCAUGGCUCUAGCUCCCACUUUCCCUUUGUAGAUUGUGAGACUGAGGUUCUAAAUGGUGGUGGGGAUUGGCCAGAGUCUCUGGGACAGUUCCAGGCAUCCCAGAUGGAUGGACAUCUUAACUGGACCAUACUUGACUCCAGUGGCCAACUGCUCUUGGGCACACAAGCCUCAUGAAUCUCGGCCAGUGGCUCUGUGCUAGGCACCUUCUGAAGGGCUUCUCCUUGCUGACUGCCUUCCUCCAAGUCAAGGCAUGCAGUGUAGGCCUUGUGUUACUUCCUAAAGCACAGGGAGGUUAGGGAACUUACCCAGGGACACACAGCAGGCACUUGGGUUACUGUAGCCCCUCCAGACAUCCCUAUUUUCCCAUUCUCUAAGGUCUUUGGUAGAUUGUGAAGGACUGCCUCAUGUUCCAGGGGAGAUGAUUCAAUCGGGGUGUAUGUUUGUGUGUGUGUGUGUGGGGGGGUGUUGGAGGGUGGAGGAAACCAGGGAUGUCUUUCCAGGGAAGCUGGGUU
rnacentral:lncRNA from 1 species